rnacentral:rRNA from 1 species
UACGAAGGGGGCUAGCGUUGUUCGGAAUUACUGGGCGUAAAGCGCACGUAGGCGGACAUUUAAGUCAGAGGUGAAAUCCUGGAGCUCAACUCCAGAACUGCCUUUGAUACUGGGAAUCUUGAGUAUGGAAGAGGUGAGUGGAACUGCGAGUGUAGAGGUGAAAUUCGUAGAUAUUCGCAAGAACACCAGUGGCGAAGGCGGCUCACUGGUCCAUAACUGACGCUGAGGCACGAAAGCGUGGGGAGCAAACAGGG